UACGAAGGGGGCUAGCGUUGCUCGGAAUCACUGGGCGUAAAGCGCACGUAGGCGGAUUGCUAAGUCAGGGGUGAAAUCCUGGAGCUCAACUCCAGAACUGCCUUUGAUACUGGCGAUCUUGAGUCCGGGAGAGGUGAGUGGAACUGCGAGUGUAGAGGUGAAAUUCGUAGAUAUUCGCAAGAACACCAGUGGCGAAGGCGGCUCACUGGCCCGGUACUGACGCUGAGGCGCGAAAGCCAGGGGAGCAAAGCGGG
rnacentral:rRNA from 1 species